rnacentral:rRNA from 1 species
GACGAACGCUGGCGGCGUGCCUAACACAUGCAAGUCGAACGGAAAGGCCCUGCCUUUGUGCGGUGCUCGAGUGGCGAACGGGUGAGUAACACGUGAGUAACCUGCCCUUGACUUUGGGAUAACUUCAGGAAACUGGGGCUAAUACCGGAUAGGAGCUCCUGCUGCAUGGUGUGGGUUGGAAAGUUUCGGUGGUUGGGGAUGGACUCGCGGCUUAUCAGCUUGUUGGUGGGGUAGUGGCUUACCACGGCUUUGACGGGUAGCCGGCCUGAGAGGGUGACCGGCCACAUUGGGACUGAGAAACGGCCCAGACUGCUACGGGAGGCAGCAGUGGAGAAUAUUGCACGAUGGGCGGAAGGCUGAUGCAGCAACGUCGGGUGCGGGAUGACGGCUUUCGGGUAGUAAACCGCUUUCGCCUGGGACGAAGCGUGAGUGACGGUAAUUGAUAAAGAAGCACCGGCUAACUACGUG